rnacentral:lncRNA from 1 species
UUCUUUUUUCUUUUUACUAUUGCCGAGCUGUGGUGUUUUUCAUCCUCUGUCUUGGUCUUAAUUUAUAAGAGUACAGUACUACUUCCACCGUCUCAUAAUUUAAGAUCAUUUUGCAAGACGGAAGGACUAGUUUUUUUUUUAAAAUGAAAACGGAGGGAGUAGCUAAUUAACCAGGCCGUGUUAAUUGGGCUUCCAACUCGUGUCGUCUGAAGACAUCUCUUUCUUCUUCCCUUCAUUUUUUUUUUACUCCAGUACCGUUCAAGAUAUCUGUUGAUGCACUUCAGUUAGGAAAUCUCCAAUGGUGAUGGGGACUUAAGAAAAACUUGUCUAGAUCGUCAAGUUUCAUUCAGCCAAUCGACACUACUGAGCUCAGCAAUAUACUCCGACCAAAACACAAUAUGAGUUUGCUGUUCCAACCAAAUGGUAAUCGAGCUCGUAAUUAACAAGUGAACCAACAAAAGAUUACUACAAUAAUACUUCAUUCAUUUCAUCAUUGCAUACCACGGCACAAGCUGACACGUACAUCUAGCAUUAUUCAUAUGCCUCAAGAACAUGCACCACUACUACAGAUAACCAAGAACUUAACACGACCGACCGACAGAGAUGGACCUAACGACGUAAUUAAGCGACAAACACAACAAACAAAUCGAGUUCUCCAAACGUACGUACGCGCGGCGUAUAGCGCCCACAGAACCAGCAUGCAUGCACGCUACGAGUAGCACUACCGAACCAUCAACCAUGCGCCCCGUCAGUGCUUGCCACACACCAGCGGAUCUAGCUAUCAACGGCCGCCCUCAGCUUU